UACGUAGGGUGCGAGCGUUAAUCGGAAUUACUGGGCGUAAAGCGUGCGCAGGCGGUGAUGUAAGACAGAUGUGAAAUCCCCGGGCUCAACCUGGGAACUGCAUUAGUGACUGCAUCGCUGGAGUGCGGCAGAGGGGGAUGGAAUUCCGCGUGUAGCAGUGAAAUGCGUAGAUAUGCGGAGGAACACCGAUGGCGAAGGCAAUCCCCUGGGCCUGCACUGACGCUCAUGCACGAAAGCGUGGGGAGCAAACAGG
rnacentral:rRNA from 1 species